CAGUCGCCGCGGUAAUACGUAGGGUGCGAGCGUUAAUCGGAAUUACUGGGCGUAAAGCGUGCGCAGGCGGUUCGUUAAGACAGAUGUGAAAUCCCCGGGCUUAACCUGGGAACUGCAUUUGUGACUGGCGAGCUAGAGUAUGGCAGAGGGGGGUAGAAUUCCACGUGUAGCAGUGAAAUGCGUAGAGAUGUGGAGGAAUACCGAUGGCGAAGGCAGCCCCCUGGGCCAAUACUGACGCUCAGGUGCGAAAGCGUGGGGAACAAACAGGAUUAGAUACCCGCGUAGUCCCUGUCUCUUAUAC
rnacentral:rRNA from 1 species